rnacentral:rRNA from 2 species
GUGCCAGCAGCCGCGGUAAUACGGAGGGUGCAAGCGUUAAUCGGAAUUACUGGGCGUAAAGCGCACGCAGGCGGUUUGUUAAGUCAGAUGUGAAAUCCCCGGGCUCAACCCGGGAACUGCAUUUGAAACUGGCAAGCUAGAGUCUCGUAGAGGGGGGUAGAAUUCCAGUUGUAGCGGUGAAAUGCGUAGAGAUCUGGAGGAAUACCGGUGGCGAAGGCGGCCCCCUGGACGAAGACUGACGCUCAGGUGCGAAAGCGUGGGGAGCAAGCAGGAGUAGAGACCAUGGUAGGCCGCGCUGUAAACGAUGUCGAUUUGGAGGUUGUGCCCUGGAGGCGUGGCUUCCGGAGCUAACGCGUUAAAUCGACCGGGUGGGGAGUACGGGCGCAAGGUUAAAACUCAAAUGAAGUGGCGGGG